rnacentral:rRNA from 1 species
GAUGAACGCUAGCGGCAGGCCUAAUACAUGCAAGUCGAACGGGAUCCAGAUCAAAGCUUGCUUUGGUUUGGUGAGAGUGGCGCACGGGUGCGUAACGCGUGAGCAACCUACCCUUGUCAGGGGGAUAGCCCGGCGAAAGUCGGAUUAAUACCGCAUGACAUCAUUGAGAGGCAUCUUUCGAUGAUCAAAGAUUUAUCGGACAAGGAUGGGCUCGCGUGACAUUAGCUAGUUGGUAAGGUAACGGCUUACCAAGGCUACGAUGUCUAGGGGCUCUGAGAGGAGAAUCCCCCACACUGGUACUGAGACACGGACCAGACUCCUACGGGAGGCAGCAGUAAGGAAUAUUGGUCAAUGGACGGAAGUCUGAACCAGCCAUGCCGCGUGCAGGAAGACGGCCCUAUGGGUUGUAAACUGCUUUUAUACGGGAACAAACGUCGGUACGUGUACCGGUCUGAGUGUACCGUAAGAAUAGGGAUCGGCUAACUCCGUG